GGCAGAGACAGAAACACAAGACAUAUAAUAACUAAACUCAAUUGAAUGGAACUUGUAUUGCAGGUCACUACAAUUGCCUUCAACAAAGAAUAUAAACUCUCGCAACAAAGCAAGAUUAACCCCGUCUUUCACUAAAGUUUGAGCAGGAUUCUUUGCAACGAUUAUCUUAACACAUAUAAUUGAGAAUCGAGUCGUGCAGUUAUGUCAAGAAAUUAAAACGGUAAGAUUAAACAUUAAAACAGUAAAAGCUAGCCUAAGGGUUUACCAUUAAUU
rnacentral:lncRNA from 1 species